AUAACAGCAUGUAGAUUGCGAAUAGGCUGACGUGUAGCAAUACCCUUGAAAACAACAAAAUUGCACAGUAUGCGCUCAGUUCUAAGCAAUCAGGACACAAUUAAGAAAGCCGCGCACAAGAAAUUAACAGCGAAUAAGGUGCCUUCUGACAACAACCCUGCAGAUCUGUGUCAGUUAGUCCAGCAGUUAGUGGUCUGAGGGUUUGGACCAAUCUCAAGACAUCAGUCCAUACCAUCGUCUACAUCUACCUUCACAGACAACCUUGUUCAGAUGCCCAGAGCUUCCAAGGGGACAUGUUGGCAAGAUGGCCGCCUUUGUCGUCCACUCCAGAGGCACCAUGUACUUGUUGACAGGAUACAGCGCCUCUGUCCAUGUGUGUGUGUGUGUGUGUGUGUGUGUGUGUGUACGCAGAAUAAUACAGUCACUCCUUUACCUCGUUCUGUGCUCCACGAUUCGCCGGCAGGUCAUUUUUAAGGCAGCGUGGAUCCCCCCGCCGAAUAAUUGUCCUUAAGAUGAAAUUGCCUUUCAUCUUACAAGCUUGAAACAAUAAUUUUGGUUUAAAACACAGCCUUUUCCUGCAGAAGUGCUCCUAUUGAGAACAUAUUGAAUGCACUCAGUAUUGAAAGGGGGGAAAUAUGAUUUUGCCUCAGGGAUACUUCAGGGCGGGAAUGCACAUUGUACGCAGCACUGAAAUGGAAUGUGGGUAUUAUUUUCUUAGUUACUGACCUUGAUGUAAAUAUCGGCAGGGUCAGAGACUCUCCAGCUAGUUUUGUUGCACAAAAUAGAAUGUUAAUGGAUUGGUUUUUGCCGAAUGUGACAACGGGAACCUUCUUCAAAGACCUCGACAGUCCGCAGCGGCUUGUCAAGUGUCUCUGCUGGCAGACAAGGUGAACUCCGGAUUCUGUCGGAUGU